rnacentral:rRNA from 1 species
CAGCCGCCGCGGUAAUACAGGAAGGACAAGCGUUGUUCGGUUUUAUUGGGUGUAAAGAGUUCUAAGGCGGUUUCUUAAGUUUAUAAUUAAAGCCUAACGUUUAACGUUAGAAUUUUAUAGAUACUGGGAGACUUGAAAUAGGUAGGGGAAAAGAGAAUUUCUAAUCUAGUGGUAAAAUACGUAAAUUAGAAGGAAUGCCGUAAGCGAAAGCACUUUUCUGGGUCUAUUUGACGCUGUAUGAACGAAACCUCAGGGAGUAAACGGGAUUAGAUACCCCGGUAAUCUGAGGCGUAAACGAUGAAGGUUAAUAAUCUAUAUUGGCGUAAAUAGGUUGUACAGUUAACACGUUAAACCUUCCACCUGGAGAUUACGAUGGCAACAUUAAAAUUCAAAGAAAUUGACGGGAAGACAUAUAUACGGUGGAACAUGAGGUUUAAUUCGAUAAUACGCGAAGAACCUUACCCGCGUUGUAUUAGUUUAAUUUAGUAAAGAGAUUUAUUAAAGCUUAGGCAACUCUAACAGGUGCUGCAUGGCUGUCGUAAAUUCGUGCCGUGAAGUCUUAGGUUAAGUCUGGUAACGAAUGCAACCCUUAUCUAUAGUUAUUAAUCAAAUUAGUUUGAAACCCUAUAGAGACUGCCUAUGAAAAUAGGAGGGAAGGAAAGGAUGACGUCAAGUCAGUAUGGCCCUUAUGCGCGGGGCUACACUCAUGUUACAAUGGAUGAUACAGAGAGUUGUGAGGAAGUGAUUCUGAACCAAUCUUUAAAAUCCAUUCUUAGUCCGGAUUGUAGUCUGCAACUCGACUACAUGAAGCUGAAAUCGUUAGUAAUCGCGGAUCAGAAUGCCGCGGUGAAUUCAUCUGCUGUCUUCUGUACACACCGCCCGUCGCACGGGGGAAGUAAUGAUAUUUUAAAGAUAGCCUUAGUUAACCUUCUAUGAAGGAGACGGGUAUUUAUUAGUAUCAGAAUGACUUCUGUUAAGUCGUAACAAGGUAACCGUA